rnacentral:rRNA from 1 species
UACGUAGGGGGCAAGCGUUGUCCGGAAUCAUUGGGCGUAAAGCGCGUGUAGGCGGCUCGGUAAGUCCGCUCUGAAAGUCCAGGGCUCAACCCUGGGAUGCGGGUGGAUACUGCCGAGCUCGAGUCCGGAAGAGGCGAGUGGAAUUCUUAGUGUAGCGGUGAAAUGCGUAGAUAUUAAGAGGAACACCAGUGGCGAAAGCGGCCAUCUGGGCCUAUUCUGACACUAAAGCGCGAAAGCGUGGGGAG